AUUACCUGAAGUACAAAUGUACUGUAUAUAUAAAGGGACAAAAGAUUUUAUAUCGACCUACUUAAAAAACACUGCCCUAGAGGAUAUACAUCAUGGAAGAAUGUGCGGAAUUUCUAUAAUUGAAAAAGUAAGGAAGAAAACUUGAGAGCAUCCUGGAGCUUGGUUGGAGGUCAGUGACCUAUAGAUGGUUCUGGUUUUUGUUUGCAUAUGCGAUAUGCCUGACGUCACUACAGUCGUAUCAGCUUCCAGGGCUGAUGCAAAUCCUACAGGGCUGAUACAGAUACUGCAGGGCUGAUACGGAUUUAUAUCGCACCCCUUGGAGAUUAAAAUACUUUUAAAAACAGUACUUAUGAUAAUACACUUUUUUUGGUUCACAUUCUCUUGAUUUGAAAUCACUGUUCUAUAUGAUAUAAUAAUUAAGUUAUUCAGUGAUUAUUUAUUUGUAUUUGCUCCAUUAGAUGUGUGCUGUAUUUUAUUACUAAGUAUGUAAUAACAUAAUACAGCAUACCCUUUUUUAUAUUACAUUUGUAACCCCGACCAAUAUCGGCCCUCUGGCUAAUAUUUGAUGUGUCGGGCUGAUACAGGAUGUGAUAUGGAAAAGGGCAAGUAUUAUUCUUUAUUUAUUCUCUUAUGUUGAUUCAGUUAAAUUUAUAUACUGUGUGCUAAUUCUAUUAUAUAUUGUAUUACAUAUGAAACGAAUAAUAUAUUGCAACCAUUUAUAUAAAUUUUAAUUUUGUCUUGGAAGAGAGACACAAGUUAUUUCGGUAAAUUGAUAAGGUGAAAUAUUGUA